GCCAAAUGUAACGAAAACGAAAUUUGGGAAACAAGAGAAGGCAGAUACGGCGCCCGCCCAGGGGUGGGUGCUGAUCACGUGACACUAAUCCAAACAAACCAUUUGUGAUUUUCUAUGUACAGUUCCUGUGCAUUCUGCGCAGUCCUUCCUACAGUGAUCUAUCCCGUUGCUCACUCAAAUUCAAAUCCAAUACCAUCGGAAACUAAAUGCUUUGAUGGCGAUGGAGAUCAGGAGAGACCGCGGAAUGGAGGAAACAAUCUUGGAGACCAUCAAGACUUGCCAACAGCGGCAGGAAGCUCCUUUGCUUUGGGCUAUGGAGGUUGGAAAAUGCCUUGUUUCCUUGGGGAUGAGAUUGCCUAGCCCUGAGUUAGGGCAUGUGCUUGUCCCUUAUCUCUGCUUCGACAAUAACCACCCUUCCCUCUGGAAGUUCCUCCAACAAGCUCUCUCCUCUCGCCUCCUCUAUCCCAUCCAUAUCCUGUCCCUCCUCUCCGCCAGAGUUAUUCCUAAUCGACGGUCUCAACCAGAGGCUUAUAGACUCUACCUUGAAUUGUUCAGCCGAUAUGCAUUUUCACUUGAUUCAAUUGGCGAAGAAGCUUGCAAACAGAAUGAAUUUUCAGUUCUCAUCGUGAUUGGCCUGAUUUAUACGACAUUGAUUGGUUAGAAUGCUGGCUAAGAACUUUCCCAUACUUUUAGAGUUCAGGUUCAGGAGCUUGGACAUGUUCUGGUGCUCUUCUUUUUUAGUAUUGUUGUUGGCUUAAUUGAUAGCACAUUCAAUGAUUGGGGAUUGCGGAUGAAGUCCUCAGAUAUACCAAGUGGACCAUUCGGAAAUGCUGAUAACAAGGAUAUGGAUGUUGAUGCCUGGGGGAACUAUAAUAUCGGAAGAUAUGAGCAUCGUGAACUUUUAAGGAAAACAAAUUCUCUUUUUGCCAUAGAGGUGCUGGUAAAACUAACAGAAAGUAGAAAGGCCAUGGUUCUACUCCGCAUUGUUUACUUGAACAUGCCUGAAAUAUUCAAUGGCCUCCUGCAGAGGCUGUUGUUUUACAAAGCCAAUAAAUUGGUUUCCUCCAAUAUGGAAUCUGCUAACCAGCUUUUGGAAAGAUUGUCAGCCAAUAUUCAGAGAGUUUAUGAUUUUGAAUACCAGUUAAACAGGCACCAGAUCAUUCAAAUGCUUGUUGAUAUUAAACCAAGCAAGCCUAUUUCUUAUUGCAAUUCAGAGUCUGGGCAAUCUUCUUGUUGGGUUCCCUUUGAUAUAUACAUGGAGAAUGCGAUGGAUGGGAAGCAACUUCAUAUUAGACCAUCUGUAGCUAUACUUACAGAAACAAUUAAGACCCUCCAAGUGUUUAACCGUGCCAGCUGGCAAGAAACUUUUCUAGCACUUUGGCUUUCAGCUCUUCGGCUUGUGCAACGAGAACGCGACCCUGUGGAAGGUCCUAUUCCACAUCUUGAAUCUCGUCUUUGUGUCCUUUUGACUAUUGUACCCUUGGCAAUUGCUAAAAUUUUGGAGGACGAGGCAUCUUCUGUUCAGGGAGCUGGAAAAUCUGGUUGUAUGGAUAGGUUAGAACGUCAAGUGGAAGGGAAUGGUCAAACUUCAAGGAAACAUGAACUUAUUUUAUCUCUCCAGGUCCUUGGAGAUUUCUCUGGUCUCUUGUGCCCUCCUUCAUCUGUCAUGGGUGCAGCUAAUAAUGCAGCUCUAAUGGCAGCUAGUUUCAUUUCUAAUUCCAAAAACACAAAGAGUGGUUCAGGCGAUGCUAAUCGUACUGAUCCUUCUGUCAAUGCAGGUAACUUGGGAAUAGUGUAGUUGACUCUUCGUAUUGUGAUUCAUAAGAGGCACAAAGGGAUCUUGGAGCCUUGGCAGAAAGUGUUGGCAUGCACCUAACAUAUAUUAAUUGCAAAUGAAAAAAAAAAGGGAAUUCAAAAUUAGGAUUAGGCAUUCAUAAUAAAUUCAAAGUAUAAGUUUGAUAACAUAAAAGAAUACCUAAUAGUUAUAAAAAAUUUAGAAUAUUAGAACCAAGAACAACCAGCCUCAUGAACUUUUUUUUUUUUAAAACGUGCACAAAUUAUAUGCAUAUCUAAACAGCUGUGAGGCUUUUAUUUACUGGUCCAUGCUGCGAACAUACUAAUAAGCCACCUAAAAUUGUGAUUUAUGUAAUAUUAGGGCUUUUUCCUAAUCCCAAUGCAUUUAUCAACCUUUGUGAUAAUUGUGACUCUUCUUCUGUCUGUAGUACUAAUAUUUGCUUGCACAAACAAAAAAUGAACAGGGAAAAAAAGAGAAUAUGAAAUGCAUCAAAAUGAUUAACAGGUGAUGAAAGAGGUUUGUUCAAAUUUCAAAAAAAAAAGUUGAAGAAGGGGCCAAGGGAGGGCAGGAUGGGGAUGGAUAGAAAGAGAGAGAUUACCUCGACGCGAUGCUCCAAAAAAUUGGCUUUUUUUUUUGGUGAGAUUUAAGGUGUGUAUCAUGAUGGAAACAAUAGUAUUGGAAGCAGGCAAUUAUUGAGUUCGUGAUCAGGUAGAAAUCCAAUGACUUUCCUGCACUGCUGACAGUGUUUUUGGGGAAAUUCUGGAGAAUUGAUACUGGUUUCUGGCGGAUAUGCAAAGUUGCAAGUCUAGUGGUGGACUUGAACGGUUAUAGAACUUGACAGUGAUGAAAUUUCUGUAGGCAUGCCUUGGCAGCGAUGCAUGUGCCUCUGUGAUGUUGCCUUUCCAUUACCUAGAGGAGGCACUGGCACCUUUAACAACUAUGAUAAAUAAUACAUGGGUUCAACUAACCAUUGAUCUUUUUUACUUUCUGAAUCUUUUCAUGAUAUUUUAGCUAUUUUUUAUGCUUGUCAGGUGGAAACAUGUGGCACCUCAUUGUAGAAGCUUGCAUUGCAAGAAAUUUAAUUGAUGUAUCUGCAUAUUAUUGGCCUGGCUAUGUGUCUGCUUCAGUUAUCUCACUGGUGUCAGAUUUACCACCAGUUCAAAAAUCUCCGUGGUUAACAUUUAUGGAAGGAGCACCAUUGAAUAAUUCUCUUGUAAAUUCACUUCUUACAACUCCUGCUCCAUGGUAAAAUGAGAAAAAAAAUUUUCAAUUUAAAUUUCAGAUUAGAAAAAUUGUUAAUGUGUUAAUUUGAUUUCUUUCGUUGCUUCUGCUAAAGUUUAGCAGAGAUAGAGAAGUUAUAUCAUAUUGCAUUAAAUGGGUCAGCAGAGGAGAAGUCGGCAGCUGCCAAGGUUCUUUGUGGUGCAUCCCUAACUCGUGGAUGGAACAUUCAGGUAGCAUAGCACUUCACUGAUGCUGAAAUAUUCCAAUUUAGCUGUCAUCAGAACUUCUUAUAUGUGAACUCUAUGGGAUACAUGAUCAUGUGUAGAUAGAUAGUUCUAAUUCAACGAAAAAUUAAAUGUAUAUAAUUUGUAAAAUUUCUUUGACAACUGGAGGUAAUGCAUUUUGAAUCUUACAAAAUUCAUGGAAAUUUGAUAAUGAUAAUGUUUUGCUGUUCAGAUGAGUAAAGUAACCUUGUUUCCUUGAUUCCUUCAAUGUAGUGCAAUUUGAAAGAAAAGUCAAGUCAGGAACAUGUGGUGCACCAUGUGGUGAAGCUUCUUUCUCCUCCUAUUCCUUCUACACAUAGUGGACAAAGAAGUCACUUGGUUGAUCAUGUGCCUAUGCUGAGUGCCAUUCUUUUUGGAGCUUCAACAAUUGACAAUGUCCAUAUACUUUCUUUACAUGGUGUUAUUCCUGAAGUAGCUGCUUCUUUAAUGCCUCUUUGUGAGGCAUUUGGGUCCCUUGUUCCUACAUCAAGUAACAAAUCAAGCUCAGGUGAUGACCCCUCGAUUUACAUGGUUUUUUCUAAUGCUUUUCUCUUUCUUCUUCGUCUAUGGAAAUUCUAUAGACCCCCUCUCGACCAGUGGUUGUCGGAAGGAGGAGCAUUUGGAGGUGGGCUUACCUUGGAGUAUCUUUUACUGUUGCGCAAUAGCCGCAUUGCAUCAUAUAAUUCUGCUGCUUCAAAUGAAAUCAACAAUGAUUCAGUCCAGUUUCAACCAACAUCUGAUAAGCAUGUAUAUAUUGAUUUUUAUCCCAAAUUACGAGCUUGGUGUUGUCAAAACAAAUCCUGUGUUGCUUCAACAGUAUCUGGACUCUCUACUGGAAAUCCUGUUCAUCAGGUUGCUAACAAAAUUUUAAACAUGAUUUACUCAAAAAUGACUAAAACGGUGUCUUCUUCGGGGAAUUCGUCAACAUUAUCGGGCAACAGUUUAUCUGGGUCCGCGUCAAGUAGUGGAGAAGAUCCUUACCAGAGACCCAUGCUUCCUGCAUGGGAAGUGUUAGAGGCCAUCCCUUUUGUGCUUGAGGCAGUAUUGACAGCUUGUGCUCAUGGAAGGCUUUCAUCUCGGGACUUGACAACAGGCCUGAGGGACCUCAUUGACUUUCUUCCUGCAUCUAUUGGAGCUAUCAUCAGUUACUUUACUGCAGAAGUUACUCGGGGUACAUGGAAACCAGUUCCAAUGAAUGGAACAGAUUGGCCUAGUCCAGCAGCUGUCCUUUCAUAUGUCGAGUCUGAAAUGAAAGAAAUACUUUCUGUUGCAGGAGUUAAAUUUCCAAGCUGUUCCUCUGGGCUUUCACCUGUCAUGCUUCCAUUGCCAAUGGCAGCUCUGGUCAGUUUAACCAUUACUUUCAAACUCAACAAGGGCCUUGACCACAUUCAUUCUGUAGUUGGGCCAGCUUUGGAGAAUUGUGCAUCAGGUUGCCCUUGGCCCAGCGUUCCUAUCAUUGGUUCUCUGUGGGCCCAAAAGGUCCGUCGCUGGCAUGAUUACAUAGUUUUAUCAUGUGCUCGCUCAGUAUUCAGGCAAAAUAAAGAAGCAGUUGCUCAGCUCCUACAAAGUUGCUUCUCAUCAUUUUUAGGAUCAGCUAAUGCUUCAACAUCUUUGCUAACCUAUCAGAGUAGUGUGUGUGGCCUACUGGGUAGCACUAUAGGGGUUUCUAGUGGUAUUGGAUCCUUGGCACCAGGGUUUCUUUACCUUCGCUCUUGUCAUACAAUACAGGAUAUUCAGUAUGUGAAUGGCGUGAUUACAAGUCUUGUAGGAGAACAUGCUAGGGAAUCAGCUGCAAGAUGGCCAAGCACAAACUCCUCUUGCCUGAAGUCUAGUCAAGCAUCUUUAUCCCUUGCUGCUACAAAGGCAAGGGAGGCAGCCAUUCUGGGUGCAAGUCUUGUUUGCGUGUCAGGGGGGAUGAAUCUUGUGCAAGAGCUUUACGUGGAGACUAUCCCAACCUGGUUGCUCUCGUCCAGGGAAGAGAAACAUGGUGGGGUGAGUGUUGUUUCCCGUAUAGUGGAAGGAUAUGCGAUGGCAUACAUGUUGAUUUUGACAGGGUCAUAUGCAUGGGCCGCUGGGGUCAGAUCUCCAGCGUGGGCAUUGUCUAGAAGGGCCCAUAUAGUUGGGACCCACAUGGACUUUUUGGCAGGGGUAUUGGAAGGAAACAUAUCACUUGGCUGUCACCCAGCCACUUGGAAAGCUUAUGUCUCUUGUUUAGUACAUUUACUGGUGAGUUUUACCCCAGCCUGGAUUCAAGAAGUGAGGCUGGAAACCCUGAAGAAAUUAGCCAGUGGAUUGAGAGGAUGGCAUGAAUGUGAGUUGGCUCUCUCUCUGCUUGAAAGAGGGGGGGUUGCAGCCAUUGGUUCAGUAGUUGAACUGGUCAAUGACUCAAUGUAGUUAAUUGAGUUCUGAAUCAUAAAAUGUAGUAUCCAUUCUCCACCCUGAAUUCUUUUGAAUGAAUUUGUCGUGAUUCAAUUAGAGCAUGAUAACAAAAGUUCUGCUCUGCCUUUGUGUGUUGGAAGCAGCUCAACUAUGUCUGGACUCUGGAAUAGAGAGUGAGUUUCUGAGUUUUGCUAGUGGCAAGGGGACAAAACUUUUCUGGGUAAUUGGCUCAGAUCAUUGGGAAAUAUUAGAAUUUUAACUUCUUUUUUAUUAAGGCUUAGUCAUUGUUGUUCUUCUUCUUCAUUUUCAUCAGAAGAGCGACACACUGUUCGUUUCAUAGAGUAGAUAUGUUAGGAAACAACAAAUGUUUGAUGAUUUGAGGAAAAAAACUGUAGAAAGCAUCUUUAGGUUUUCCAAUUCCAGUUUUCUUUUUAAUCUGUUACAUCUUUGUUCUCUUUUCUUCUACUUAUUUGCAUCUGUUUUAGUGCCUAUGCUGCACAUAACUUACUCUACAGUUACGUCAACUUUUGUAAAGAUAAUUACAUAUUGUGCAAGAAUUAGUAUGAAACAUUUUAUUAGGUUUCCAAUGUAAGCAUGUGUUUACACAGUAAAGCG
rnacentral:misc_RNA from 1 species